UACGAGAGCCUCGAGCGUUAUCCGGAAUUAUUGGGCGUAAAGGGUGCGUAGGUUGUUCUGUUAGUCUUUUGUCAAAUUCUUCGGCUUAACCGGGGGCAGGCGAGGGAAACGGCAGAACUUGAAAGUGUGAGAGGCGUACGGAACUCAUGGUGUAGGGGUGAAAUCCGUUGAUAUCAUGGGGAACACCAAAUGCGAAGGCAGUACGCUGGCGCAUAUUUGACACUGAAGCACGAAAGCGUGGGUAGCGAAUGGG
rnacentral:rRNA from 1 species